rnacentral:rRNA from 1 species
GACGAACGCUGGCGGCGUGCUUAAAACAUGCAAGUCGAACGGACUUCUCAUGAAGCUUGCGAUUGAGAAGUUAGUGGCGGACGGGUGAGUAACGCGUGGGCAACCUGCCCCUGAGCCCGGGAUAACAGUUCGAAAGGACUGCUAAGACCGGAUAUACUUGCGGUGAAGCAUUUCACUGCAAGGAAAGGGAACGCUCAGGGAUGGGGCCCGCGUCCCAUUAGCUAGUUGGUGAGGUAACGGCCCACCAAGGCGACGAUGGGUAGCCGGCCUGAGAGGGUGAACGGCCACACUGGGACUGAGACACGGCCCAGACUCCUACGGGAGGCAGCAGUUGGGAAUCUUCGGCAAUGGGCGCAAAGCCUGACCGAGCAACGCCGCGUGAGUGAUGAAGGUUUUCGGAUUGUAAAAGCUCUGUCUUCCGGGACGAUAAUGACGGUACCGGAGGAGGAAGCCACGGCUAACUACGUG